UGUAAGGGUCACCCAGGGGUACUGGU
rnacentral:misc_RNA from 1 species